rnacentral:misc_RNA from 1 species
UACGGAGGGGGUUAGCGUUGUUCGGAAUUACUGGGCGUAAAGCGCGCGUAGGCGGAUUGGAAAGUUGGGGGUGAAAUCCCGGGGCUCAACCCCGGAACGGCCUCCAAAACUAUCAGUCUAGAGGUCGAGAGAGGUGAGUGGAAUUCCGAGUGUAGAGGUGAAAUUCGUAGAUAUUCGGAGGAACACCAGUGGCGAAGGCGGCUCACUGGCUCGAUACUGACGCUGAGGUGCGAAAGCGUGGGGAGCAAACAGG